CACGCUGCGAAGGGAGGGACGACUCCGUGCGCAGGGACCUGCACUCCAUUCGCAGGACAUUCUUUUUAAGGCACAGCCUCUAGAUUUUGAGUGACAGGACCAAUGGAGAAGAAGAGUUUUAGCAGUAAUCUGAAGCUUGGUAAGUUCAGAACUUUGCUGAAGAAUUUAACCAAGGACCAAAAAGAUCUUGUCAAGUU